UUACGGCCAUAAUACAUUGAAACACCGGAUCUCGUAUGUUCACUGAAAUUAAGCAACGUCGAGCCUAAUCAAUAUCUACAUGGGUGACCAUUUGGGAAUACCAGGUACUGUAAG